GACGUAGGGGGCCAGCGUUGUUCGGAAUUACUGGGCGUAAAGGGUUCGUAGGCGGUGCGGUAAGUCGGGAGUGAAAUCUCUGGGCUUAACUCAGAGGCUGCUUCCGAAACUACCGUGCUAGAGUGCGAGAGAGGCAAGUGGAAUUGCGGGUGUAGCAGUGAAAUGCGUAGAUAUCCGCAGGAACAUCCGAGGCGAAGGCGGCUUGCUGGAACGCAACUGACGCUGAGGGGCGAAAGCUAGGGGAGCGAACAGG
rnacentral:rRNA from 1 species